rnacentral:misc_RNA from 1 species
UCCGGUUUGACACCGGCAGUCUCCCUAGAGUGCCCGGCAUAACCCGCUGGUAACUAGGGACGAGGGUUGCGCUCGUUGCGGGACUUAACCCAACAUGUCACCACACGAGCUGACGACAGCCAUGCAGCACCUGUCUUCCGGUUGUAUUGCUACAAAAGCCCUAUCUCUAGGGUUGUCCGGAGAUGUCAAAUCCAGGUAAGGUUCUUCGCGUUGCUUCGAAUUAAACCACAUGAUCCACCGCUUGUGCGGGCCCCCGUCAAUUCCUUUGAGUUUUAGCCUUGCGGCCGUACUCCCCAGGCGGAGUGCUUAACGCGUUAGCUACGGCACCGCAGGGGUCAAUACCCGCAGCACCUAGCACUCAUCGUUUACGGCGUGGACUAC